UUAUGUGCAAGUGCAUAGUGUGUCUCUUUCUGUGUGUGCUCCUGUGUGUGGAGGUCAUAGUGGACUUUAGAUGCCUUUCUUUCAUUGCUCUUCACCUUACUUUUUUUGAGACAGGGUCUUUCAUUGAACUCAGAACUCAAGACUAGCUGCUGUCAAGCUUUAGGGUGGAUCUCUAUCUCUGCCCCUAAGUACUGUGAUCACAGACAUGUACUGUUGAGUCUGGGCUUUACGUGUGAGUGCUGGGGAUCAGAACCUUGGCCAUCUACCAGCUAAGCAUUCUCCUUGGACCACGUUUUUGCAUUUAUUUCAGUACUUUUUAUUGGAUGCCUUUUGGCCGAGAAUCUUCAUUGUUUCAGCUCUAUUCUAGACACUAGCAAAUGGGCACCAAAGUAACAUCUUUGUUUUAUCCAAUAAAAAUAACCUCAGAUGAAAUGAUGGUUGAAGGGCCCAGUGAAUUUUGUUAAUGCUCUCUAUGUUAUUGUAGGGGAUUGACAGAUGAUUGGCAGUCAAUAUCCUGAAAACCAAAUCUUAACUCAUGCUCACUUUGUCACCAUCAUUCACAUAUUCCUCAUGGCUGCUCUGGUGCUCCAAUAGCUGAGAAGCUGCACUGAAGACAUUUUUGGCCCACAAAGACUAAAACAUUCACGUUUUGUUCUUUACAGAGCAAGUUUGCUGACUCUGGUGGUGUCUGUUGUUGGAGAUUCUGAUGCAUGUGAUGUAUUCAAACUAUGAAAGCAGCCAUGUUUUCAUUUUCUUUCAUCUCUCCUGCCUCCAGUGAAUUUGAUCUUAGAAUAUUUGCUCAACUCACAUUUUUCUUGUAAGUUUUUGAGUGAGGGUCUUACUAUGUAGCCCUAACUGACCUGGAACUCACUAUGUAGACCAAGCUGGUGUGAUUCUUACAGAUCCAUCUGCUUCUGCCCCCUGGGAGCUGGGAUUAAAGUUGUACAUCAGAACAGCUGACUCAAUUCACUUUUUAGAAAUGAAUUAAUUUGGGAACAUUUCCCCUGUUAACAUUUCCCUGUUCAUGGACUAUUUCUCUGCUUGCUGUCAAAUUGGUCAUCUCUGUAACUUUUGCCUUUUGACUGGGCUUUAUAGCAGAAACAAACAUUCCACUUCCAGAAGUUGUAAUCCAGCUUCCCUCUGAAAAGUUUCAACAAGAGCCUAGACAUGUGGAGCCCAAGUCCCUUCCAGUUGGAGAAGACACUUCACCAGAUUCUCUGUGGGUUUUCUGUCCUUGCCUCAUCUGACUCAAUACAAAGACUACUCACUGGGAUUAUGCUUCAUUGUUUUCUGAGUCGUUGUUGAAACUGACAUUGAACUAGUCUGACUUUGAACAUAAGCUAGGCCUAAUGGAAGAGUCAAGGCAAUGUGGUGUGGAUUUUCAACAGAGCCCAAGACAACAGACAGGACUAUAACAGGCUUAAAGUCCAUCACAGAGAGGAAUCAGGUGGGAACUCAAGGCAGGAACCUGGAGGCAGGAGCUGAAGCAAGGAACAUGGAAGACUGUGGCUUACUGGCUUGCUCCCCAUGGCUUCCUCAGCCUGAUUUUACAACCCCAGACCCCUGUCAGGGGUGACACUGCCCCCAGUGGGCUGGGCCCUCCUACAUCAAUAAUGAAGAAAAUUCCUCCCCCACCCUCGACUUAUCUACAGAACAAUAAAAUGGAAGAAUUUUCUCAA